AGCUCAAGCAGAUACAUUCUUCAGCCAAGCAUCCAAAUGUUAAAAAUAGCAGACGUAAACGUUUUUCACCCAGCAAAAUCCCUCACUAUGUAAGACUUGUGGAGGAAUUUAGGGCCCAUGCAGAAGGUGUGAACCCUAGCAGAAAUCUACGUGAAAAUGCAAGGCAGCGAGCCACUCAUGUCAUCCAUUUUCUGGAAUUCAUGGCAGACCCAGCAAUUCCAAACGUUGAC